AGAGAAUGAGGACACGGAGAAGUCCUAACUUUCAAGAAGGCCAAGUCCCCCUUGAGAAUCCCCAGUACAGAGGAGUCAUUCGAAAAAACAAUGCGAACUCAAUUGCAGUACAUGGUUUUGUGGGUCCCCUCAUCCCAGAUUGAGAAGCGGAAGGGAACGUUAGUGUCCUUCGUUCUUUGAACCUGCAGAUUUGGAGUGUGUGCCAACUUCCGGGAUGAGGAUGGACACCAGUACUUUAUUCUGAUAACUUGAUUCAGGGUGUAAUUGUCGAUGUGUAGUUCACGCAUCAUUCACUGAUCAUAGGAUGAGGAACUAGGCUGAUGGCUGGUUGGGCAGAGGCCGGGCUGCGGUUGGGUGCUUCGAUUGAUGACAAGAGCAGUGUCUCUUGAUACGCGUCUACAGUUGCAAAAGAAUAGAUUACAAUACUAAUAAUCAUAAUAACAAACAACAGCUGGACCUGGUUUCCGUCCCCUUGCUGUGAUAACUAGUUCUUCAUAGAUCUUCAAGGUAGUGGAGGAUAGUGGCCGCCUAGGAUGUCUAAUUUGUGAUCUGUAUCUACAGAUUGGACUCCCCCCCCCCUCCCCCAAGAUUAGGCUCAUUGGAAUCUGUACGCCAUCUGAAGUACUGCAGACAAUGAUAAGCGCCAAGCUUAAGUUAACCAGGAUGCAACGAUUCACUUACCUCACUCCCUGAAGUUGACAGCAUGAACUUAGUUGUAAACGUUCCAAAUACUGGACAGCUAACACCAAUCUAUCCAAGUAGUGGACUUAUUCUUUCUACACGUCGAGGAAGAGCAUGAUUCCACAUGGUUUAUGGUAUGCUUGCACAAAGGUAGUACUGUAGCACUCAGAUCACAUGCACCAGUCGCUUGAUCAACUAAUUUGACAGGCUGUCAAAAGUAUUACCACAACAAGGAACUAGGGAGCGAAUACUUGGAAGAAAACUAUUGUAAUCUUUCACCUAUUUGGACCAUAAAAUGAC
rnacentral:lncRNA from 1 species